rnacentral:rRNA from 1 species
UACGUAGGGUGCGAGCGUUAAUCGGAAUUACUGGGCGUAAAGCGUGCGCAGGCUGUUUUGUAAGUCAGAUGUGAAAUCCCCUGAGCUCAACUUAGGAACUGCGUUUGAAACUACAAGACUAGAAUAUGUCAGAGGGGGGUAGAAUUCCACGUGUAGCAGUGAAAUGCGUAGAGAUGUGGAGGAAUACCAAUGGCGAAGGCAGCCCCCCUGGGAUAAUAUUGACGCUCAUGCACGAAAGCGUGGGGAGCAAACAGG